rnacentral:lncRNA from 1 species
GAAAGAAAAGCCAGGGCAAGGAUUGGCUCAGAGCCAGGAGUGACUCUCUAGUGCAAGGAAAAGAAAAGCAAGAGAUCCCCAACAGUUCACAUUUCCACCACCAAUGCCUGCAAUAUUAGCUACAGGACAACCAGCAUUUUGGAGCCACUAAUCUGUCUCCCUCAUUUUAUGAAUGAAGAAACUGAGACCCCAAGAGGUUAUGGACCUUGAUUAAGGCCACAGUGAUAGGUAAUGACAGAGAGAUCAGAAUCUAGGUCUCCUAACUCCCAGCCCAGGUUUCUUUGAUCACAAUUCAUAAAGGGAUGCCCUUCAGAAGGAUUGCUUUUAAAAAUGUAUAUAUAUUGCUCUUUAUAGUUUUCGCAACUUAAAAUGUUGUU